rnacentral:rRNA from 1 species
GACAGAGGCCUCAAGCGUUAGGCGGAAUCACUGGGCUUAAAGCGUGUGUAGGCGGAUCGUUAAGUGUCUUGUGAAAUCCCACGGCUCACCCGUGGUACUGCUGGGCAUACUGGCGAUCUUGGGCCAACUAGGGGCAACUGGAACAAGCGGUGGAGCGGUGAAAUGCGUAGAUAUCGCUUGGAACGCCAAAGGUGAAAACAGGUUGCUGGGGUUGUGCCGACGCUGAGACACGAAAGCCAGGGGAGCAAACGGG